GGCCCGCAGAGCUACCUCCACGCAUUUAGCUAUUAUGCGAUUGUCACUAAGGUUAAUUUGCGGAUUUUGCAAUAUUCUUAGACACAAAUUCAAGUGUGGUCACUUCUAGAGUAAAAACCUGGAAUGACUCACAGUUAAUAACACUAUUAAUAAUGGAUAAAUAUAAUGCACAAGAGCCAAGGACUGUUAAUACUAUUAACAAUGGAA
rnacentral:lncRNA from 1 species